rnacentral:rRNA from 1 species
GGGGAAUAUUGGACAAUGGACCAAAAGUCUGAUCCAGCAAUUCUGUGUGCACGAUGAAGUUUUUCGGAAUGUAAAGUGCUUUCAGUUGGGAAGAAGUCAGUGACGGUACCAACAGAAGAAGCGACGGCUAAAUACGUGCCAGCAGCCGCGGUAAUACGUAUGUCGCAAGCGUUAUCCGGAUUUAUUGGGCGUAAAGCGCGUCUAGGCGGCUUAGUAAGUCUGAUGUGAAAAUGCGGGGCUCAACCCCGUAUUGCGUUGGAAACUGCUAAACUAGAGUACUGGAGAGGUAGGCGGAACUACAAGUGUAGAGGUGAAAUUCGUAGAUAUUUGUAGGAAUGCCGAUGGGGAAGCCAGCCUACUGGACAGAUACUGACGCUAAAGCGCGAAAGCGUGGGUAGCAAAC